UUUCUGAGACCGGAAGUGGUCAUCAGCAAGUGUGGAGCCAAACAGAGUACGGUGCAUAGACUGUACAUAAAUUUUUUUUCGUGAGUUUUCAUGGUCAAAAUGAGAGAUCAGGUGGCCGAUCUUAAAAUAAAUCAAUAUUGAUUUUUUUAUAGAGCGUUAAAGUUUUGCGAAUCCAGGGGGCGGGACUACUUAAUUGACAGGCCGGUCUGGAAUGAUUGACAGGUCCUAUGGAGGAGGCAGCAGAGACUCUGCUCUCCUCGUUUGGAUUAAUUCUGAUAUAAUAACUGUUGGUUUAUUUAUCGGUGGAGCAGCAGAACAUUUUCCACAGACAGUUUUCCUGCCCGUUGGCUUGUUUUACCCAGUUUUCUAUCAGCAGACACUGAAAGGACUCUAAUAGUUCGAGUGAAAGUAGCAGUUCCUCCUUAAGGUCAGAGAUUGCAGCAUCUGAGGGCCUCUUCAAAAGAAGAUGUAGUUGAUGAAGGCGUUCUGGAGCAGGACCAGAAAGACCACGACCAAGCAGCCUUGAGAUCUUAGGCAGCGUCUCCCUCAGGUCCCUCUCUAUCUCCCUAUACAUCCACCAACCACUGGAACACAUGUCCAAAGUUCUGCCGGUCCAGCUCAGCUUCCCCUCAGAAGAAGUGCAACCACCUGCCAGAUGAAGGAGCCUUUUGAGAGGCAGCUGGCAUCGUGAUUGGACUGUACUUUGGCCUGUUCCAAUCCAGCUUCAGCUCCAGAGACGGCAGGCGGGACGAGUCAACGGAGGCCGGGUGGACGAAGGCAUGCAGCUGAGUACAAUCCAGAAAACAACAGAGGAGGAGUGCAGUGGCCCAGGGCCACAACACACAGAGUAGCAUCGUAUGUCUCUUAGAAAACAUCAUAGUAGAGCCUUUGGUAUGAAAAAACACCAUCAUAUACAUCAAAUAUUGUACAAAUAACAAGUCAAAGGAAAGAGACAUACAUUGUAGAAUUGUAGUAAUUGUGGGCUGACUGAUUUACUGAUUAUCAGUAUUUUAUUUUUUACUGAUUUACGGUAAUAAAUACAUUUAAAAAUGGUGCUACUUUGGCUCUGAACCUUAAUCUACCUGUGGUCGCUCUGUCUUCUGGAGUGAUUUGAUUGGUUAUACGUCACGAAUAAAACUCCUUUAACUUAAUAUCUGUAAACAAAACAAAAACGUAUCAACAAAGUUUCCUGUUUGUGUUCUUCUAAGUUUAACUCCAAGAUUUUAACUACUUUCAUUUACUGCAAAUGAAUAUCUACUCCAAAUGUCUCACUAAUAAUCAUUAUCAGCCUUAAAAACCCACAAAACACCCCUCUAUACUCGACCACACUUAGUACAGUCCGGUUCCCCCUUCUAUAAAUCUGCUUGGAAUCGUCCACUUCCUGUUUGUCAAAGUGGCCUUCUACCUGGACAGGUUUUUUUGGAGCUCAUGCAACAAACAUUUUGGGUAACUGCACUUUAAUAUGGAUGGAUGACACUGAAUUAGAGUCUGUUUUAAUGAGACUGAGUU